rnacentral:rRNA from 1 species
GACGAACGCUGGCGGCGUGCUUAACACAUGCAAGUCGAACGGAAAGGCCCUGCUUGCCGGGUACUCGAGUGGCGAACGGGUGAGUAACACGUGGGUGAUCUGCCCUGCACUUCGGGAUAAGCCUGGGAAACUGGGUCUAAUACCGGAUAGGAGCCAUUUUUAGUGUGAUGGUUGGAAAGUUUUUUCGGUGUAGGAUGAGCUCGCGGCCUAUCAGCUUGUUGGUGGGGUAAUGGCCUACCAAGGCGGCGACGGGUAGCCGGCCUGAGAGGGUGGACGGCCACAUUGGGACUGAGAUACGGCCCAGACUCCUACGGGAGGCAGCAGUGGGGAAUAUUGCACAAUGGGCGCAAGCCUGAUGCAGCGACGCCGCGGGGGGGAUGACGGCCUUCGGGUUGUAAACUCCUUUCGCCAGGGACGAAGCUUUUUGUGACGGUACCUAGAGAAGAAGCACCGGCUAACUACGUG